UAUGACCAUAUCACAUUAAAACACCAGUUCCUGUAUGGUCAACAAAGUUAAGAAACAUCAAGCCUGGUCAGUACCUAGAUGGGUGACCACUUGGGAAUACUAAGUGCUGUAA